rnacentral:rRNA from 1 species
UACGGAGGGUGCAAGCGUUAUCCGGAUUCACUGGGUUUAAAGGGUGCGUAGGUGGAAUGGUAAGUCAGUGGUGAAAUCUCCAAGCUUAACUUGGAAACUGCCGUUGAUACUAUCAUUCUUGAAUAUCGUGGAGGUAAGCGGAAUAUGUCAUGUAGCGGUGAAAUGCUUAGAUAUGACAUAGAACACCGAUUGCGAAGGCAGCUUGCUACACGAUCAUUGACACUGAGGCACGAAAGCGUGGGGAUCAAACAGG